AAAGUUUUUAAAUAUUAAGCUUCUAACUUAAUUUAUAGCAUAAAGAUGUUAAACUUUU
rnacentral:tRNA from 1 species